UGGCUCUGGCAUCGAUGAAGAACGCAGCGAAAUGCGAUAAGUAGUGUGAAUUGCAGGCUUUAGUGAAUCAUCGAAUCUUUGAACGCACAUUGCGCCCCUUGGAAUUCCACCGGGCAUGCCUGUUUGAGCGUCAUCCACACCCUCGAGCCACGCUCGGUGUUGGGCGCCUGUCCGCCCCGUGCGGCGGACUCGCCCCGAAGCCAUUGGCGGCGGCCCGGCCAGCUACCCACGCAGCGCAUGCGUACCGGGUCAGCCACCGGCCAGGGCCCGCGACCACGAAGCCCGCACCAGGUCCGACCUCAAAUCAGGUAGGGAUACCCGCUGA
rnacentral:misc_RNA from 1 species